ACUACCGAUUGAAUGGUUUAGUGAGGCCUUCUGACUGGCGCCGAUACUCUGGCAACAGAGCGCCGGAUGCCGGAAAGUUGGUCAAACUUGAUCAUUUAGAGGAAGUAAAAGUCGUAACAAGGUUUCCGUAGGUGAACCUGCGGAAGGAUCAUUACCGAUACAAUCCAAGAACAACUCCGUUGUUUGCCCUGUGAACCGUACCGAACCAUUCAGGGGUCGGCCGAGCCGUUAAAUGGCGGUCGGACGCGAGAGAGAGGUGAUCAUGAUGAUCAUCAUCAUCGCGGCCGCUCCGCCAGCCCCGCCAGUGUUUUUCACAGUGUACGUGUCUACUGUCUGAUGGUACGACGGCGGUGGUCGCCGAUUGGUGGAAAAAAAUGCCAGAGACAACUUUUGACGGUGGAUCUCUUGGCUCACGCAUCGAUGAAGAACGCAGCCAGCUGCGAUAAGUAGUGUGAAUUGCAGAAUUCAGUGAAUCAUCGAAUCUUUGAACGCAAAUGGCGCUCUUGGGUUCUCCCAGGGAGCAUGUCUGUCUGAGUGUCGGAUAUCAUCCAUCGCAUGCACGCCUUGUGUGCGUGCUUGCGGCGUUGAGGCGUCACGGCCGCCAGCUCUAGGGCUCUAGGGCUCUAGGUAGGGGGGGGCCGUGUCCCUUGAAAGACAGAGAGACUCGUGGGUGGCUCGUGGGUUUCCCUGCAGCAGCACACCGGCGGAGGCUAAAAGUCUUACUUGUCCUUCGCGUGCUGGCCAGGACCCCGCCGCGCGGGAGUCGCGGAGGAGGCGAACCGACGCUUUUUUGGUCGGUCGGGCAAACUAACUGUCUUGACCUCAGAUCAGGCAAGGCUACCCGCUGAAUUUAAGCAUAUUAAUAAGCGGAGGAAAAGAAACUAACAAGGAUUCCCCCAGUAACGGCGAGUGAAGCGGGAAGAGCUCAAAUUUGAAAUCUCCGAUGCUUGCAUCGGCGAGUUGUAGUUGCGAGAAGCACUUUCUAGGCGGAUCGGUGGUGCCUAAGUUGCUUGGAACAGCACGUCGCAGAGGGUGACAACCCCGUCUGUGGCGGCACCGGCCGCUGACGAUGUGCUUUCGAA
rnacentral:rRNA from 1 species